CUCCGGUAAACAGCAGGACACACCCAGCGCAAACUCACACGAGCUCACACAAGCUAGUAAGCCAGCCCACACGAGCUCCAUCGACCAUCGGAUGGGGUCCUUCGCCAGAGCUGCGCGUUUCCUUGUGCUCCUCCAGAUCGUUCUGUUCGUCAUCUCCGCCGUGCUCAUGAGCGGCCCCGUUUGCCAUGGAGCCCGCCCAGGGAUCAGUGGUGGAGCUCUCGACCCUAACCGGCCAACAGUUACAGUCCCGCCUGGUGCCCCCUACACCCGUCGGUGCGGCAGCUUGAAUAGGUGCCCACCAGGUGUUCAGCCCUGAUACCCGCACAAACACCUCUCCCGAACAAUGGAAGGAUUGCACCGCCUGGAUGCUUUCAUCUAGUUAUAGCAGUACAAGUUACUGCCACGACCUUAUGUUGAACCCAGAGUAAUAUCAUCUCGUGUACUUAGAUGUUUACUACUCCGAAUAAAAGUGGAUGUCUGUUGUUCGGUUCAGAAAUAAAGAUAGACGGUGUUUCUAACGAAUAAA